rnacentral:rRNA from 1 species
AGAGUUUGAUCAUGGCUCAGAUUGAACGCUGGCGGCAUGCCUUACACAUGCAAGUCGAGCGGCAGCGCGGGGGCAACCCUGGCGGCGAGCGGCGAACGGGUGAGUAAUGCAUCGGAACGUGUCCUCUUGUGGGGGAUAACCAGUCGAAAGACUGGCUAAUACCGCAUGAGAUCGAGAGAUGAAAGCAGGGGACCGCAAGGCCUUGCGCGAGAGGAGCGGCCGAUGCCGGAUUAGCUAGUUGGUGGGGUAAAAGCCUACCAAGGCGACGAUCCGUAGCUGGUUUGAGAGAACGACCAGCCACACUGGGACUGAGACACGGUCCAGACUCCUACGGGAGGCAGCAGUGGGGAAUUUUGGACAAUGGGCGCAAGCCUGAUCCAGCCAUUCCGCGUGAGUGAAGAAGGCCUUCGGGUUGUAAAGCUCUUUCGCAAGGGAAGAAAACUUACCAUCGAAUAAAUGGUGAGGCUGACGGUACCUUGAUAAGAAGCACCGGCUAACUA